GUAUAUAGAGGCCGGGCUACAGCAAAUGCUGAGAUACUACAAUUAAGGUAAUGAACAGUUUAUUUGUAUUCGUCAGCCUCUUGGCUGUGUCAGUUGUUGUCAAUGGAAACUACUUCAGCUCCAAGCAAGCAACUCUUGAAGGCUAUCAAACUCAACAACAAGGAGAAGAAACAAAACAUGAUUUAGAGGACUCAAGCACAGGCUACCUACACAACCAAUGAGAUACUCGCUCAAGCCAUGUGUCAAGCCAGUGCUCCAUACGGGGCUAGAGUCUAUGCAGUUGGACGAAAAUGUCUCGCGACUUCGACAACAACGUGCCACGACAUUUGUUACAACAGGCAGCUCAGGAAUCAAGACGGGCAAAUCAGGAACAUGAUAGUGGAUUGUAUAGCUGCCUAUCAUGUCUAUUUAAGUCGUCCAUCUACAAAUAAGAACGGCGAAGAAUACAGUGCAACACUUGGGCUAAAGUCGAUCGAAGUUGGAUGCAACCAUGCUAGCUGUGGACCUAACUACUGCUGUUGCAUGGGCAGGCCAUAAAACGAUUCAAGAUAAUUAUAGAACGUAAUAUAUAAGAUUCAAGUAAUAACUUCAUUAUAAUGUAAAAGUAAAAGUAUAGCCAUGCAAGUACAAUGCCAUGUAUAGUAAUAAAAAUGGCACCUCCUAAUUACUAGUACCACUUUUUGUACAUAGACCACACCCCUCACCACACCCACCUGGUAUCAUGAUCUCUUUACGGCCCCAGUAGAA